CCUACGGGAGGCAGCAGUCGAGAGGCUUCGGCAAUGGGGGAAACCCUGACCGAGCGACGCCGCGUGGAGGAUGAAGGCCUUUGGGUUGUAAACUCCUGUCAUGUGGGAAGAAACGCCACCGCGCGAAUAGUACGGUGGUCUGACGGUACCACAAGAGGAAGCUCCGGCUAACUCCGUGCCAGCAGCCGCGGUAAU
rnacentral:rRNA from 1 species